CCUACGGGAGGCUGCAGUGGGGGAUAUUGCACAAUGGGGGAAACCCUGAUGCAGCGACGCCGCGUGGGCGAAGAAGUCCUUCGGUAUGUAAAGCCCUAUCAGCAGGGAAGAAGAAAUGACGGUACCUGCGUCAGCAGCACCGGCUAACUACGGGCCAGCAGCCGCGGUAAUACGUAUGGUGCAAGCGUUAUCCGGAUUUACUGGGUGUAAAGGGAGGGCAGGGGGGAAGGCAAGGCUGGUGUGAAAGCCCGCGGCCCAGCCGCGGGACUGCAGUGGGAACUGCCGGGCUGGAGUGCCGGAGAGGUAGGCGGAAUGCGUAGUGUAGCGGUGAAAUGCGUAGAUAUGAGGAGGAACACCAGUGGCGAAGGCGGCCUACUGGACGGUGACUGACGCUGAGGCUCGAAAGCGUGGGGAGCAAACAGGAUUAGAUACCCCGGUAGUC
rnacentral:rRNA from 1 species